UGGGGAAUAUUGCACAAUGGGGGAAACCCUGAUGCAGCGACGCCGCGUGAAGGACGAAGUAUUUCGGUAUGUAAACUUCUAUCAGCAGGGAAGAAAAUGACGGUACCUGACUAAGAAGCCCCGGCUAAUUACGUGCCAGCAGCCGCGGUAAUACGUAAGGGGCAAGCGUUAUCCGGAUUUACUGGGUGUAAAGGGAGCGUAGACGGCUGUGUAAGUCAGAUGUGAAAACUUGGGGCUCAACCCCAAGAGUGCAUUUGAAACUAUGCAGCUAGAGUGUCGGAGAGGUAAGUGGAAUUCCUAGUGUAGCGGUGAAAUGCGUAGAUAUUAGGAGGAACACCAGUGGCGAAGGCGACUUACUGGACGAUGACUGACGUUGAGGCUCGAAAGCGUGGGGAGCAAACAGGAUUAGAUACCCCUGUAGUCC
rnacentral:rRNA from 1 species